rnacentral:rRNA from 1 species
CACGGUGGAGGCGCAAGCGUUGUCCGGAAUUAUUGGGCGUAAAGAGCGUGUAGGCGGCCACACAGGUCUGCUGUGAAAACUCGAGGCUCAACCUCGAGCUGUCGGUGGAAACCGUGUGGCUAGAGUCCGGAAGAGGCGAGUGGAACUCCUGGUGUAGCGGUGGAAUGCGCAGAUAUCAGGAAGAACACCGACGGCGAAGGCAGCUCGCUGGGACGGUACUGACGCUGGAGGCGCGAAAGCGUGGGGAGCGAACAGG